UCCAAGGAUGGGCAACUUUAUAGGGAAA
rnacentral:piRNA from 1 species